AAAAGAAAGAAAGAAAUAAAG
rnacentral:sRNA from 1 species